GGUGUUCAGAGUGGAAUAGUGUGUACAUUUGCUGCUGACAGUCGGGACAACGAUGCUGAGGAUGUGGGGGACAAGCAUGACGCAGAAGGUGAGCACCAGCAUUGAUAUCCAGUUGGCCAAGCAACAGCACCAGUCCGGCCUGCAGGAGCCCCAAUACUAAAUGAUCCUUUGCCUUCCCUGAUCCCUAGCUCCUCCCACUGGACCUCCGGCCACAAAGGGUCAGCAUCAUAACACAAGUCUGUUCUGCAAUAAAUCCUCAGCACGUCAAGUUUUCACGCGCUGUUAUGAACAGCUGAAAUGUCUGUGUUGAGAUUUCCCCAAGCAAGCCCGAGUAGUUUUGUUUAGCUCUAGUGCCCGAGUGGGAUGAGUGUUACAGAAGCGAGACGUUAUAGCAGUACUUAUGGUAACGCUAACAGUUAGUUCUCACUGUGGACAUCACGAAGAAUCUCACGAAGGAUUAAACGUUGAAUAGUUUGUUUAAUUCUUUAUAAGACAGCUAUAUAUUCAGCGAGGAACGAGAGCAAAUCAAGGAACAAUUGAAACUAUUCAUUCAGAAGUAUAUCUGCUGUAGAUAGUUAGGACAGUAGAAGGGUU